rnacentral:rRNA from 1 species
CCUACGGGAGGCUGCAGUGGGGAAUUUUGGACAAUGGGGGCAACCCUGAUCCAGCCAUGCCGCGUGAGUGAAGAAGGCCUUCGGGUUGUAAAGCUCUUUCGGACGGAAAGAAAUCGCGCAGGUGAAUAAUCUGCGUGGAUGACGGUACCGUAAGAAGAAGCACCGGCUAACUACGUGCCAGCAGCCGCGGUAAUACGUAGGGUGCGAGCGUUAAUCGGAAUUACUGGGGGUAAAGCGUGCGCAGAGGGGUGAAAUCCCCGGGCUUAACCUGGGAAUGGCGCUUGUGACUGCAAGGCUCGAGUGCGGCAGAGGGGGGUGGAAUUCCACGUGUAGCAGUGAAAUGCGUAGAGAUGUGGAGGAACACCGAUGGCGAAGGCAGCCCCCUGGGUCGACACUGACGCUCAUGCACGAAAGCGUGGGGAGCAAACAGGAUUAGAUACCCUGGUAGUC